AUUGAACGCUGGCGGCAUGCCUUACACAUGCAAGUCGAACGGCAGCGGGCCUUCGGGUGCCGGCGAGUGGCGAACGGGUGAGUAAUGCAUCGGAACGUGCCAUUGAGUGGGGGAUAACGUAGCGAAAGUUACGCUAAUACCGCAUAUUCUGUGAGCAGGAAAGCAGGGGGACCGCAAGGCCUUGCGCUCUUUGAGCGGCCGAUGUCAGAUUAGCUAGUUGGUGAGGUAAAGGCUUACCAAGGCGACGAUCUGUAGCGGGUCUGAGAGGAUGAUCCGCCACACUGGAACUGAGACACGGUCCAGACUCCUACGGGAGGCAGCAGUGGGGAAUUUUGGACAAUGGGCGCAAGCCUGAUCCAGCCAUGCCGCGUGAGUGAAGAAGGCCUUCGGGUUGUUAAAGGCUCUUUCGGGAGGAAGACGGGAGAAAUCCCAGACGGUACCU
rnacentral:rRNA from 1 species